rnacentral:misc_RNA from 1 species
AAAUCAACGAGUUUACAGGAUAAGAAGGAUAAGAAGAUUGAAUGUUUCUUGAUCUAGCAUGAAGACAUGAAACAGAUUCCUAAUAUUGAUGUGUGAAUUUAGUUUUGUUUGAAUUUCAUGCUAUAUUUCAGAAAAUGUUCAUUCAAUUUUUUCUAUUUAAUGUUUGCUAACAUCUACAUUGAGUGAGGGUAUAGUGUGGGCAGUUAGUGCAAGCAUAUGAG